ACAACCCAAUGCAAGUUUCCGGCGUUGACUAAAUCUUUUCCGAUGUUGACUACGCAUGUGCAAGACACGUGCCUCAUAUAUUACUUAAUACACCCAAUUUUCCUCCAAUUAACUCCAAUAAAAACCCCUGCUUCUCUCUCCUUCCUCUUUGUCGUUCAAUUGGAAAAAAAAUUGCAGAACAAAUUCCUCUAAAGCUGUUUGAAUAUGGGAUUUCAAGGUGUCAACCAAGCAUUUUAUCAAUUUCAAACCAGGACGGAAAUUCUACGCUUGUAAGUUCUACAAACAUGAAACCGGUCAAAGGGGAUGCAACACGUUUGAGUGGCUUGAUGAAGACAUUCUUGACUAGCAAAGGGAUGUCACUAAUGUCUUGAUUGCAGAAAGGAGUAAGUAAGCCACUGAUUUAAGCAUUUUGAAGGCCAAACUUAUCACUAACAGAGCAUGAGAAGCAAAGGUUGUAUGAAGAAUCGGACAAAGUAAAGAAGAAAAUGCUCAAGAAAAAUGAAAAUCUUCAACAAACUAAUGUUGGAAUUCAAAGUGACAAAUUACUUUUUAUUUGUGUUGUUGUGUCUGUUGCUGUAGUUUCCUUGUAGUGAAACUCUGUGGAUGUUUUACCAUGUUUGUAAUUAAUGGAUGUUUGUAAUAUGAACCAGUUGCACUAAUUAAUGGAUGUUUUACCAUGUUUUAUCGGCA